CAACCAGACUCCUACGGGAGGCAGCAGUGGGGAAUAUUGCACAAUGGGGGAAACCCUGAUGCAGCGACGCCGCGUGAGUGAAGAAGUAAUUCGUUAUGUAAAGCUCUAUCAGCAGGGAAGAAAAUGACGGUACCUGAGUAAGAAGCCCCGGCUAACUACGUGCCAGCAGCCGCGGUAAUACGUAGGGGGCAAGCGUUAUCCGGAUUUACUGGGUGUAAAGGGAGCGUAGACGGCAGUGCAAGUCCGGAGUGAAAGCCCGGGGCUCAACCCUGGGACUGCUCUGGAAACUGUAAAGCUGGAGUGCGGGAGGGGCAGGCGGAAUUCCUGGUGUAGCGGUGAAAUGCGUAGAUAUCAGGAGGAACACCGGCGGCGAAGGCGGCCUGCUGGACCGUAACUGACGUUGAGGCUCGAAAGCGUGGGGAGCAAACAGGAUUAGAUACCCCCGUA
rnacentral:rRNA from 1 species